GACGAACGCUGGCGGCGUGCUUAACACAUGCAAGUCGAACGGAAAGGCCCUGCUUUUGUGGGGUGCUCGAGUGGCGAACGGGGGAGUAACACGUGAGUAACCUGCCCUUGACUUUGGGAUAACUUCAGGAAACUGGGGCUAAUACCGGAUAGGAGCUCCUGCUGCAUGGUGGGGGUUGGAAAGAUUCGGCGGUUGGGGAUGGACUCGCGGCUUAUCAGCUUGUUGGUGGGGUAGUGGCUUACCAAGGCUUUGACGGGUAGCCGGCCUGAGAGGGUGACCGGCCACAUUGGGACUGAGAUACGGCCCAGACUCCUACGGGAGGCAGCAGUGGGGAAUAUUGCACAAUGGGCGGAAGCCUGAUGCAGCAACGCCGCGUGCGGGAUGACGGCCUUCGGGUUGUAAACCGCUUUCGCCUGUGACGAAGCGUGAGUGACGGUAAUGGGUAAAGAAGCACCGGCUAACUACGUG
rnacentral:rRNA from 1 species